rnacentral:rRNA from 1 species
UAGUUGUGUAGACUCCUCCGGCGUUGACCGAGUCGGCUCUCGAUGCAACGGUCAGCGGCCGGGGCAGCCGUGCCGUCCCAGUGCGCGCGUCGCUGUCGGCGUCCAACGACAGAGCGCGCCUGAUCUGAUCGUGGUGGUGAGGUUAAGUUUAGUUGCACAGGUAGGUGCCGCACCGGACGGGUCGAGCAAGGUGACUAAAAGGUGACUGAGGAUGGAGCUCGUCCAAAUCCUUCCAUUACUUCCGUAUGGAAACUGCAAUUCGAAGUCGUCAAGUCGGAGUCCGCACACCGUGUGACAAAAAGAGCGAUUGAAAUCGGUGCUCGUACGUCUAAGUCCUUCCUUAACUUCCGUAUAGAAAAUUACCGUAGGUGCCAUCAUGGUGAUAUGCAUAGUACGCUUGACUUCUUAAUUACCGCCUUUGCGGAUGGCGGUCGCGAAUUCUCGAUUCGUUUGCUGCCGAUGGAGGGGGUAGGGAGGGGUGGGGGUGGGGGUGGUGGUGGGGCGGCGCGGGUCGGAGGAUAGCCUCUGUUUGACGACGGCACGGUGGCGAUAUUAUUUGAUGUCCUGCGCCGCGGGGAGGGGGUCGGGUCGAAGAAGGUCAUGAAAGAGAUUGCAGAGAGAGAGAAAGGAGGCAGCGGCAGCGCCUCCCACACCCCCCGCCUAGUACCGCCUCGUGCCGCUCCUCCUCCGCCGCUGCGAGCUCAAGUGCGGGUGCACCUAGCAGCGCGAGCAGACGAGGUAGUAGCACGAGUAGAGGGAGGAGCGGCUCGCUACGGAGGUGAUGGAGCCGUUCUGCAAGUUCUCCUUCUUGGUCUUCGGCGAGAUGCUCCGGUAGGAGUUCCAGUUUCUUCUCGACUACGAAGAGCCCAAGUAGAGCGACGACGACUGCCACACGGUCCCCUUCUAGGUCUUGUAGACGUAAGCAGGAUCGACCUGUGAGGUGUACGACGGUACGGUCCCCCUCCUGCUCCAAGCCCGGCCACUCCGCCGCGGCUGUUUCCUCGUAGAACAAUGUCGGGUCUAGUAGCCGUCUUAGCCCUCCGCCGACGAGUCACCGCCGCGCCGCCUUCAGCUGCAGACGGCUAGGUUCCCUUUUCGAGGCAACUACAGGGAACUUCGAUAUGUAGUCAACGUAUAAAAGUAUAAACACGACCGAUAAUGUGUACAACAUAAGUCACAAAACUGCUACGAAAAUCCUCCACGUUUCUAUGUAGUUACCUUUGACACCCUCCUACGUUAAGUCUUUCUGUGGCGUCCUUUGCCCGGGUUCUUCCACUUGUUACAUGUGUUAAAGCUUAAAUAGUCCCUCGUAAAAUUCCCAUAACCGUUUCUAAGAUCUUAUAACUCAACCGACGUAAGAAAAAAGUUCGUCAAGAUACCUAGUCAUUCAUUUUGGCUGAUAUGGUGUUACGCAGAACCAAAAUAGUACUGGGUGACGGCACCUUUGAACUUUAAGCUAAAGGUAUUUAUGUACGACGCCCAAAAUCUCAGACUAAAAUUCUUCCACCAACCGUAUUCGACCAUGAACACCCAGAAGCACCACUAGAAAGACAACGACUUACAAUUACCCACCGUGUGCAUGAAAACCUAACGUAAGUAAGGGGAAUAAGAAGACGAUCGGCACCCGUGGUUCAACCUCGUGCAGUAUCGAGUCAAUCGAGUCCUACAUCGACUCUUCGUGAGGCGUCAGCUCCCGCUAAACUAGCACUUCGGUAGCCUACUGGUGAAGACCAAGCCCGCCGGCUCCUAGUAGGACAAGGACUAGGUGAAGUAGGAGAAGGUCUUGCGGAAACUCUAACGUAAGAAGAAGACCUAUGACUGGUGGAUACCCAAGUUGAGGACGUAGUACCCCGUUCAACCGAAGUAACACGGCUCCGAACAAUAACCCGAGUAAUAAGUCGAAGAGACGUCGAUGUCGUGGGACGGAGACAUACGUUAACAUUGUGUCUACCCUUCGAAGAUGUUCUUCCUCUAGAAGUUACUCGUACACGUCGUCCCACAGGACCCAACCCGAGUCUUCCGAUUCUACUUCUUUCCCAAGUUCUUCUCGUUACCGCGCCGGGUUAGCUGCUCGGGGCAGCUAAGACACCCCGGAAGAUGAUUCCAACUUUACCACUCUGCUGGCCGCGCCCUUCCGUUGCUACGACCACUUUCGUAUCUUACUACAUCAUACCCAUCACUCAUCACAACAGAUCUCGUUACCGCAGAUACUACAGAUAAAACCGCAACGUUACUUUCGUGAAGUCGUACACGAUGGUAAUACGUCUUCAAGAACGUCGGCAUUUUGUAACACCACCGUUCCCCAUUUUUCUUUAACCCAGGUCUAUCUUUAUCAAAUAGAGAGUGUCGC